GAAACAUGGCACCAACAUCUGCAUCUGGUGUGGACCUCAGGCUACUUCCAUUCAUGGCGGAAGGUGAAAGGGAGCUGGUGUUGCGGAGAUCACAUAGAAAGAGAGGAGGAAAGAGAGAGAGGGAUAAGAAGAUCAAACUCUCCCAAAAAGUAGAGAUUAAACAACAACUAAAGAUGGCGAAUCAUAGAAGGAGACUUGCUCUGUUGCCCAGUCUGGAGUGCAGUGGCACAAUCUCAGCACACUGCAACUUCCACCUCCUGUGUUCAAGUGAUUCUCCUGCCUCAGCCUCCUGAGUAUCUGGGAUUACAGGCCAACCCUGCUUAUUCCUGUAAACCAACCAGUGAUCUCUGGCUGCUGCUUAGAAGAAACAAGAGGGAUGGCUAAUUAAACAGGUUGAAGUAAAGGAGCCAGCCCAAACCCACCAAAACCAAAAUGGUGACGAGAGUGACAUCUGGUCGUCCUCACUGCUACACUCCCACCAGCACCACGACAGUUUACAAAUUCUAUGACAAUGUCAGGAAGUUACCCUAUGUGGUCUAAAAAGAGGAGGCAUGAAUAAUCCACCCCUUGUUUAGCAUAUCAUCAAGAAAUAACCAUAAAAAUAGGCAAUCUGCAGCCCCCAGGCUGCUCUGUCUAUGGAGUAGCUGUUCUUUUUUUCUUUUACUUUCUUAAUAAACUUCCUUUCACUUUGCACUGCAGACUCGCCCUGAAUUCUUUCUUGCAUGAGAUCCAAGAACCCUCUCUUGGGGUCUGAAUUCAGACCCUUGUCAUGUAACAACCAGAGCACCCCCGGGUUUAUAUUUAGUGAUCCUUUCAUUCCCUCAUACAAAUGCUCAUUAUGUAACAAGUCAGAAACAGCUUUUCUAGUCUUUUAUAUGUGGUAUAAUCAUUAUGACUUAAAUACACAAUGUGGGUGUCAUAAGGCAGAAUUUUGUAGGUGUUUUAACAGAUACAUAAAAGGGAGAAGUAAAUUUGGACUAGGAAAAUCCAGAUAAGCUCCAUGAAGAAGACUGCUGGAGAGUUAAGCUUUGAAGGAUGAGUGAGGGUGUAAGAAGCAGACAUAGGAGACAGGACAUUCCAGGUAUUGGAGGGUCCCAAUGCCAUGUGAAGUAUGGGAAAGGGACUAUUAAAUGUGUUGGAUACUUCAAAAUAAUGUUACAUCUUCAUAGCUAUGUUAUAUUCUCUUGACGUGUGUUGCAAGUUGCUGGAAUAUUUUACUGACACCCUGUAGCUAAGAUUUUUUUCCAGACUCAAAGAUAACUAGUGGGCUGGCCAGUGGUCUAGGAAAUAAUCAGGCAGGUGAUUUCAGCAUAAUGAGUUAAGUGGAUACAGCCCCUGGCUGAGGGCUAUUCUUAUGUGACACUGGCAGAGUUUCAGAACUACUUAGGUGGGCUUAAGCAUUUAUUUAUUAUCUUUUAUGUUCUAGGCACUAUUGUAGGCAGUGGAAAUGUGGCAAUAGACAAGCUGUGGCUCUGCUUUCCUGGCGGUAACAUUCCAAUACAUAAGAGGGACACUAAAAAGGUAAAUAAAAAAUACACUGAUUUUAGCUGAUCUCAUUUCACAGAGGUCAGCGCACUCUCCCCUCUCUGAGAGUGUUACUAUGCUUAAUAAACUUUUGCUGCUUUGCUGAAAAAAAAAAGUGAAUACAUUGAUUUCAAGGUAACUCACGUUGUUUCAUGAUAUAUAAAAAAUAAAAACAGGUUGUUGUGAUAAGGGAAGUGAUGGAUGGAAAUGCCCCUCCAGGGAACAACUUUUUAGUAAGAUCUAAAUAAUAGGAAGACACGUGAAAAGAAGCCAGUAGGCAGAAAUCAUGAGGAAGCAAAACUAGGCAAUCAGAAACAGAAGAGAGGUAAAAACAGGUGGAGAGAAGACACAGAGAACUCAACUAACCAGAAGGGCUGUUGGGUUUCCAGAACUAUUGCUUGAAUUUUGACUUCUAGGGUCCCUGUUGGCUCCUGAAUAGAUGCAUAAGUAGAUGCAUAUGCUCCAUUUUCCAUCUUUAUUCUGUUAUAAUAUAUUCCUAUCUAUCUAACAUCUAAUGAUCUAUUGAUCUAACUGUCCAUCCAUCCAAUCAUUUUCAUAUUGUGGGACAGUUAGGUUGCUGCCAGUUUUUAGCAACACAAGGAGCAAGACAGCAGUGAACAUUCUUGUACACACUUUAUCAAGUACAUGGUAUGGGAUUUUUGCAUGUACCUGGAAUUGAAACUGCUGGGUGGUAAAGGAUGUCUACCUUUAACUUGAUAAAAACCUGCAAAAUUGUUUUCCAAAGUUUUUACAAAUAAAUUUACUUCUCCACAAGAAAUGUACACUUGGCAUUAUCAGACUUCAAAAUUUUUUCCAAUCUAAUGGUGUGAAAUGG
rnacentral:lncRNA from 10 species